AAAANAUAGCCCUAAGAACUUAUUUAGGGUGAAGCCUGCCCAAUGAUUAUUUUAAUGGCCGCAGUACUUUGACUGUGCUAAGGUAGCAUAAUCAAUUGGCUUUUAAAUGGAGUCUGGAAUGAAAGGAAAAACGGGGUUAAGCUGUCUCUAAUUUUUUUAAUUUGAAGUUACUAAUUAGGUGAAAAGGCCUAAAUGAGAUAAAAGACGAGAAGACCCUUAGAGUUUUGAUAUUUUUUCGUUGGGGCGACGCGGAGUCACCAAAACACUCCGGAUUUAAUAUGACGGAUCUUUCAUGAUCAGAUAAACUACCUGAGGGAUAACAGCAUAAUUUUUUUAAGUUUGUGACCUCGAUGUUGGACUAGGAAGCUUCCAGGCUAGCCGCUUGGAAAGGGGAUUCUGUUCGAAUUUUUACUCCUACGUGAUCU
rnacentral:rRNA from 1 species